rnacentral:rRNA from 1 species
UACGUAGGGUGCGAGCGUUGUCCGGAAUUAUUGGGCGUAAAGAGCUCGUAGGCGGUCUGUCGCGUCGAUCGUGAAAACUUGGGGCUUAACCCUGAGCUUGCGGUCGAUACGGGCAUGACUGGAGUUCGGCAGGGGAGACUGGAAUUCCUGGUGUAGCGGUGAAAUGCGCAGAUAUCAGGAGGAACACCGGUGGCGAAGGCGGGUCUUUGGGCCGAUACUGGCGCUGAGGAGCGAAAGCGUGGGGAGCGAACAGG